rnacentral:tRNA from 1 species
AUUCUCAUAGUUUAUAUUAAAACAUUACACUGAAAAUGUAAAGAAAAAUUUUUUUUGAGAAUA